CCUACGGGAGGCUGCAGUGGGGAAUAUUGCACAAUGGGGGAAACCCUGAUGCAGCGACGCCGCGUGAGUGAAGAAGUAAUUCGUUAUGUAAAGCUCUAUCAGCAGGGAAGAAAAUGACGGUACCUGAGUAAGACGCCCCGGCUAACUACGUUCCAGCAGCCGCGGUAAUACGUAGGGGGCAAGCGUUAUCCGGAUUUACUGGGGGGAAAGGGAGCGUAGACGGCAGUGCAAGUCUGGGGUGAACGGCGGGGGCUCAACCCCCGGACUGCUCUGGAAACUGUACGGCUGGAGUGCAGGAGAGGGAAGUGGAAUUCCUAGUGUAGCGGUGAAAUGCGUAGAUAUUAGGAGGAACACCAGUGGCGAAGGCGGCUUACUGGACUGUAACUGACGUUGAGGCUCGAAAGCGUGGGGAGCAAACAGGAUUAGAUACCCCAGUAGUC
rnacentral:rRNA from 1 species